CCAACGGCUCCACUUGGAGCCACAGCACAGUGGGGUGGGGAGGGCA
rfam:Ovis aries breed Texel chromosome 1, whole genome shotgun sequence.